UUCAUAGCUUGUUCUACAUUUUCUUUUAAAAUAGGGAGCCAAUUUGUUUUCAGCGCUUUUCUUUCCAUGACUGAUCAAACUUGCUUUCUCGUCACUCUCUUGUUUAACUUGUUUCCCAAACCUACGAUGGGGCUGCUGUAAUGAAAAGGUUUCUGCUAUUUGAAUUUACAGCCAAGUCCCCUCAUGUUCCCUAAGAGGUGAUGACCACUUCAGCCAAGUCCCCUCGUGUUCCCUAAGAGGUGAUGACCACUUCAGCCAAGUCCCCUCCUGUUCCCUAAGAGGUGAUGACCACUUCAGCCAAGUCCCCUCGUGUUCCCUAAGAGGUGAUGACCACUUCAGCCAAGUCCCCUCGUGUUCCCUAAGAGGUGAUGACCACUUCAGCCAAGUCCCCUCGUGUUCCCUAAGAGGUGAUGACCACUUCAGCCAAGUCCCCUCCUGUUCCCUAAGAGGUGAUGACCACUUCAGCCAAGUCCCCUCCUGUUCCCUAAGAGGUGACGACCACUUCAGCCAAGUCCCCUCCUGUUCCCUAAGAGGUGAUGAC